UAGGGAAUCUUCCACAAUGGGCGCAAGCCUGAUGGAGCAACACCGCGUGAGUGAAGAAGGGUUUCGGCUCGUAAAGCUCUGUUGUUAAAGAAGAACACGUAUGAGAGUAACUGUUCAUACGUUGACGGUAUUUAACCAGAAAGUCACGGCUAACUACGUGCAG
rnacentral:rRNA from 1 species